rnacentral:tRNA from 1 species
GCGCGGGGUGGAGCAGCCUGGUAGCUCGUCGGGCUCAUAACCCGAAGGUCGUCGGUUCAAAUCCGGCCCCCCGCA